UACAAUUUUUAUAUUAUAACAGUCAAUUAACACUUUAUCCAACAGAAAGCAUACAUCAAUGAUUUUAAACAUAAAAAACAUGUAUAAAAAUAAUCAAUCCAGACAGAAAUCAAAUGAUUUUUAGCAAAUAAUUUCAGCUGUAACUCGUUUCCUUCUGCAGAUGUUACUCAUAACAAAGAAAGCAGCAUUGAUCUGGAUGAGGGAACUGGUGGAGACAUCAGCUGCAGCGUGAAGAACCACGUCAGUCACGCACAGAAGACCAUUAGACUCAAACCCUGUCCUGCUGAUGGUUCUGUUGGGUCUGUUAGGAGCUUUUCACAUCUACAUGAGACACACAUCAGG